rnacentral:tRNA from 1 species
GAUCUUAUAGCUCAGUUGGUAGAGCAUAACACUUUUAAUGUUAGGGCCAUGGGUUCGAGUCCCAUUAGGAUCA